rnacentral:rRNA from 1 species
UACAGAGGUCUCAAGCGUUGUUCGGAUUCAUUGGGCGUAAAGGGUGCGUAGGUGGUUGGGUAAGUCAAAUGUGAAAUCCCGGAGCUCAACUCCGGAACUGCAUUCGAUACUGCCCGGCUAGAGGAUUGGAGAGGAGACUGGAAUUCACGGUGUAGCAGUGAAAUGCGUAGAUAUCGUGAGGAAGACCCGUGGCGAAGGCGGGUCUCUGGACAAUUCCUGACACUGAGGCACGACGGCCAGGGGAGCAAACUGG